GAUGAACGCUGGCGGCGUGCCUAAUACAUGCAAGUCGAGCGAACAGACGAGGAGCUUGCUCCUCUGACGUUAGCGGCGGACGGGUGAGUAACACGUGGAUAACCUACCUAUAAGACUGGGAUAACUUCGGGAAACCGGAGCUAAUACCGGAUAAUAUAUUGAGCCGCAUGGUUCAAUAGUGAAAGACGGUUUUGCUGUCACUUAUAGAUGGAUCCGCGCCGCAUUAGCUAGUUGGUAAGGUAACGGCUUACCAAGGCAACGAUGCGUAGCCGACCUGAGAGGGUGAUCGGCCACACUGGAACUGAGACACGGUCCAGACUCCUACGGGAGGCAGCAGUAGGGAAUCUUCCGCAAAGGGCGAAAGCCUGACGGAGCAACGCCGCGUGAGUGAUGAAGGUCUUCGGAUCGUAAAACUCUGUUAUUAGGGAAGAACAAAUGUGUAAGUAACUAUGCACGUCUUGACGGUACCUAAUCAGAAAGCCACGGCUAACUACGUG
rnacentral:rRNA from 1 species